rnacentral:miRNA from 1 species
GAGAGAAACAUUUGUGAAGGCGUAU